rnacentral:rRNA from 1 species
GAUGAACGCUGGCGGCGUGCCUAAUACAUGCAAGUCGAGCGAACAGACGAGGAGCUUGCUCCUCUGACGUUAGCGGCGGACGGGUGAGUAACACGUGGAUAACCUACCUAUAAGACUGGGAUAACUUCGGGAAACCGGAGCUAAUACCGGAUAAUAUAUUGAACCGCAUGGUUCAAUAGUGAAAGACGGUUUUGCUGUCACUUAUAGAUGGAUCCGCGCCGCAUUAGCUAGUUGGUAAGGUAACGGCUUACCAAGGCAACGAUGCGUAGCCGACCUGAGAGGGUGAUCGACCACACUGGAACUAAGACGCGGUCCAGACUCCUACGGGAAGCAGCAGUAGGGAAUCUUCCGCAAUGGGCGAAAGCUUGACGGAGCAACGCCGCGUGUGUGAUGAAGGUCGUCGGAUAGUAAAACUCUGUUAUUAGAGAAGAACAAAUGUGUGAGUAACUAUGCACGUCUUGACGGUACCUAAUCAGAAAGCGACAGCUAACUACGUG